rnacentral:lncRNA from 1 species
GUGAAGCUAGCUCACCACUCUAGUGAGAGCUAUCCCUCCACAGGUUCCAGGGCAGGAAACAGAAAGGCUUCGACUUCUGACCUCCAAAACAUCAGGCCUCUCUAGGAGUCCAAGAUAGGAAUUUGAAUGGAUAGAAACAAAAAGAGAAGGCAUGGUCUUUGGCAAUAAUUCUCCUUCUCUUGGUGAUGUCCAUGAGAUUACAUGACCCUGAAUGAAUCAAUGGCCUGAAAGAAUAACUCAUGGUGCACUAAGUAAGAAUCAAAUUUCAUGUCUGGACUUUCCUUCUGAAAUGGGAACACUGUGGUACAAAGUUCCAGAAGAUUCUGCCAGAGCUCACAGAAGCUGCCUCCUACAGGAACAGGCAAAAACAUUAAAAACCUUUGUUGUAGCCUCUCUCUGGCUUGGGUGUGGCCUUGUGACAUGGCUCUACAUAAUCCUUUCUAGGAGCCCAGGAGGAGAGAAAUGCCCAGGAAAGACAUCUCUUCACCUCAGAAAAGAAAGGUCAACUACAAGAAAAAAUGACGCAAAAGCCCAGCUCUUAGAUCUAAGCAUCCUCAUGUGUGAAAAUCCAGGUAAAGUGUGCCAGGUCCCACCAAAGCCCACCAAUCUUAGAGUCGACCUGGCUGUGUUGUCAGCGAAUGAUCCUUUUGUGAGAAGACACACAAUGGUAUCAAAUCACAGAAUCACAAGAACAGCACUCUGCCUCAGUCUGCCCUCAGCUCAGUCAGGAAAAGUGUGGAAAACUAAAUUUUAAAAUAAUAACAAUAAAUAAACAGGAUUUUAGACCCA